AUCUAAAUCUAUAUUAUCCUGAAUCCUCCCAACCUCACCUGAUCUGGGGAUCUAACCAGGGUGAAGCCUGGUUAGGACUCGAAGACCCCGAAUACAAGGAGCUGUAAGUU
rnacentral:rRNA from 1 species